CAACUAUUUAAAUUCUUUAAUUAUAUUUAACGUUGAGUUUUCUAGCUUCAUGCAUUGCUCUUAAUAAUACAUGUUGCUAUGAGGUAUAACAUUUGGUUCAGGGCUUUUUUUGAGGAUGUGUAACUGGAGAGGACAUAAUUAGCGGGGGACCUGGAGAAGUUCCAGUUGGCAAGUUUGUAUCCAGGGCUGUAGCUAGCAUGUAUAGUUCGGGGGGUGUAGGCCAAAAAUUUCCGAAUGACGAAAAUAAUUUCCGAAUGUAUCAUGGCAUAGUAAGCCACGAAGGUGGCUUAAAUAAAUAAAUUUCGAGUCUCUGAAAUGCCAUUUCCUGGACUUUGGGGAAGUUUUGACAGAAUGCUGAUGGUCAGAAAAAAGCGUUUUAGUAUGUCGGAAUUUACAAUUUGCUUACAAUUUAUAGUGACAAUACAAUUUUAUAAUAUUUUCUCUGUUUAACAACUAAAAUUUUGUUCUACUAUUAUUUGCAGUAAUUUUCCGAAUGGCCAACCCGAUUUCCUGAAUAUGUUGAUUCUAAAAAAGUUGGGGGGUUAACCACCCUCAAUACCCCCCUCGCUACAGCCCUGUCUGUACCACUGCAGCUACCUACAGCAUAGGGCAGCAGCUCAGGCCAUGCUUAACUAGGACUCUGAGACAACUGAGUCGACCACCGAAGAUGCCCC